rnacentral:rRNA from 1 species
GUUAGGAAUAUUGGACAAUGGGCGAAAGCCUGAUCCAGCCAUGCCGCGUGUGUGAAGAAGGUCUUCGGAUUGUAAAGCACUUUAAGUUGGGAGGAAGGGCAGUAAGUUAAUACCUUGCUGUUUUGACGUUACCGACAGAAUAAGCACCGGCUAACUUCGUGCCAGCAGCCGCGGUAAUACGAAGGGUGCAAGCGUUAAUCGGAAUUACUGGGCGUAAAGCGCGCGUAGGUGGUUUUGUAAGUUGGAGGUGAAAUCCCCGGGCUCAACCUGGGAACUGCCUACAAAACUGCAUGACUAGAGUACGGUAGAGGGUAGUGGAAUUUCCUGUGUAGCGGUGAAAUGCGUAGAUAUAGGAAGGAACACCAGUGGCGAAGGCGACUACCUGGACUGAUACUGACACUGAGGUGCGAAAGCGUGGGGAGCAAACAGGAUUAGAAACCCCUGUAGUCC